UCGAGUCGGCCUGCGCGGAAGAUUUAACGGGGCUAAACUGUGUACCGAAGCUGCGGAUUCAGAGGAUUUACUUCUUCUGAGUGGUAGAGGAGCGUUCUGUAAGUCAAUGAAGGUGUCCUGUGAGGGAUGCUGGAGAUAUCAGAAGUGCGAAUGCUGACAUGAGUAACGAUAAUGCGGGUGAGAGACCCGCACGCCGAAAGUCUAAGGUUUCCUGCGCCAUGUCCAUCAGCGCAGGGUGAGUCGGCCCCUAAGGUGAGGCAGAAAUGCGUAGCCGAUGGGAAACGGGUUAAUAUUCCUGUACCUAGUACAGUGGUGAUGGGGUGACGGAGAAGGCUAGACCAGCUGCCAGAUGGUUGGUGGUUUAAGCAUGUAGGUAGGCGACAUAGGCAAAUCCGUGUCGUCAAUAUCGAGAUGCGAAUACGAGCUUAUUUU
rnacentral:rRNA from 13 species